CUAAAACACCCUCAAAUCAUAUCUAAUCUGCUAAACCCUCAUUCACCGCACCCACACACCCUCCGUCACACACUCCUCUUCACGCACCCUCCGUCGCACACCGCACCCACCACCGCGACGCAACCACAGCCGUUGACGCUAGAGCCGCCAUGCCGCCACAACUUCGUCGUUCGAAACAGCGCGCCGUUGAUCUGCAGCCGCCAACGCCGUCUCCACUGCCUACCCUUCCAAUCUGCUUCGUUCUACCCUCCUCCGGCUCCCCUGCGACGCCACAGCUACCAGCCAUCGUCACCGUCUCCGCCCCAGCCAUCGCCGUCCACGCACUGUAGUUGCAGUAAGUCAGAUUUUUUAGCCGGACAUAUUUCGUCGCCGGCAACUCUGCAUAAAAAUCUCUGUUUCUUCGAUUUAAUUUCUUGCAGUUCGCCAUAGGAUUAUGAAAAGCAGGUGUUGCUGGAUGAUUGGCAGCAAGAUCUGAAUGUGGAGAAGCUUUGCUUGAGAGAAGGAUGGAUUGAAAUUGGAUAUUGAAUGGCAGAGGUGAUGGAGUUGGAGGCUGCGGCGGAGAUGGGAGGAGGCGGAGGGAGAACUUAAGCGGAAGAGAUGGAGGAGACGGAGACGGUGCGGCGAGAUGUGGCGCGAUGCAGAGGAUGAAAAGCAGAGAGCGAGUAGCAUUGGAUGCAGGGAGAAAAACAUAAAAAGGCACAUGAUAUGCACAUGUUGACCCGUAUACUUGUGUGACCCGACCCGUCUUAUGGAUGGAGAUCCGUGAGACGGUCUCACACAAGUUUUUGCCUUAAUAUUUUAGUGUUAAUUAUUAAAGUAUUAAAUAGUUUAUAAUUAUUAAAUUUAAAAAAAUUAAAUAUUUAAAAAAAAAGUAAAAUAAAACAUGUACGGGCGGGUGCCUUAGCACCGAUUAAUCGCCGUCUAAGCGCUAGGCAUCCCCGAGUGCUCGAGUAGCGCCUAAUAAUUUUUUCAUCUAUGAUAAAAUUAUGAAAGAACUUGGAGUUGAUGUCAUCCCUUUUUAAACCAAAAUUCUGUUGCACGUUGUUUCCAUUAAGGAAUUGAUAAAGUUUUGUUGUGCCUUGAGAA